rnacentral:rRNA from 1 species
AGUGAACGCUGGCGGUAGGCCUAACACAUGCAAGUCGAACGGCAGCACAGUAAGAGCUUGCUCUUACGGGUGGCGAGUGGCGGACGGGUGAGGAAUACAUCGGAAUCUACUUUUUCGUGGGGGAUAACGUAGGGAAACUUACGCUAAUACCGCAUACGACCUACGGGUGAAAGCAGGGGAUCUUCGGACCUUGCGCGAUUGAAUGAGCCGAUGUCGGAUUAGCUAGUUGGCGGGGUAAAGGCCCACCAAGGCGACGAUCCGUAGCUGGUCUGAGAGGAUGAUCGGCCACAUGGAAACUGAGAAACGGCCCAGCCCCCUAGGGGAGGAAGAGGUGGGGAAUAUUGGAAAAUGGGCGCAAGCCUGCCCCAGCCAUCCCGGGUGGGUGAAGAAGGCUUUGGGGUGGUAAAGCCCUUUUGUUGGGAAAAAAAAGCGGCAGGUUAAUCCCCCGCUGUUCUGACGGUACCAAAAAAAUAAGCACCGGCUAACUUCGU